AUGCUCUCUCCUGGAGCACAUGUACUAAAAUUGGAACAAUUUAAAGAUAUCACCGUGGCUCCUGCACAAGGAUGACAAAUUUGUAAAGCAUUCCAUAUUUUU